GCUGAGAUCUAUCCCGAUGGGGUUUUCCUGUAGCCACUCACGGCUGGAAACGCCUCAGAGAGUAACUCUGUGGUUUUGCUUUACUUCCAGGACUGUCUUAGGUCUAUGGGAAGGAACUACACGCAAAUU